AUUUUCCCUUCGCUCACUUUGAUUUCGACGCGAUACCAACUACACGAGCACGUGAUAAAAUAGAUAUCAAAUCAAAUUACAUAGAAAUAAAAAACGGGACUGCAAAAUGCAAAUUGUUUGAAAGAAUAAUAAACACCUGUGGAAACACUUCAAACAUGUCCUCGCACCUUAAAAAUAAACAUUACGAUGUUUUCGUAAAAUGUGCGAAAAAGAAGGUAUGUCAUAUGGUAUGGCAUAUGUAUGUAUGUGUGCGUAUGUUUAAAUUUCAGAAGUUCAAAAUUUCACUGAAAAUUUAUUAUUAUCUGUAUUAUAUCCGUAAUAUUAUUAUUAUGAUCUGUAUUAGAAAUCCAUUUUUUUGUAAUAUUUAUAUUUAUAAUAUUUAUAUAUAUAAUAUCACGAUAUCCCUAGCUAUUAGCUUUGUUGUUUCCUAGAGAUGGCACGGCAUACGAUAGAUCAAAAAUGUAAGGAAUACUCGAUUAUUCAAAAUAAGGGGUCCAAUCAUUACCAGGACUACAUUUAACUUUUGUCCAUGCACAUCAGUGUGUUUUACCAAAAUAAAAAAGAUAUCUAGGCAAAUCCUUAGCUCCGCAGCUACUACAGUUUAAACGGGCCUUACAUCGACAUCCAUAUCCAACUUUCGCCUUAUAAAAAAUUUCUAACUAUUGCAGAAUUAUAAUUAUGAUGACUAUCAAUACAUCAAACAUUAAAACAUUAAUAUUAACGUUCCUGAUAAAUAUAUCAUACAUGUAUAUCAUACAUAUGUUGCAUAUGUAUAUGUUUUAUGUUUCUUGUUUUACAAUUUGUUUCUAUUGGUAUACGAAGAACACACCCACUCUAACUAAUUUUUUCGAUUGCCAAAUAUAUAUAUAUCUGAUUGUCGAGCGUUCUCUCUUGUUUUUUGUCUACUCAUGAAAUGUUGUUUCCUACUGUAUUUCCGAUAAAAACGGUCCUCUUGGUAUGACCCAAGUAAUGUUAAAAUAAUAUACAAAUAAUAUAAUAUUGUUAAGCCAUAUGUAACAAAAAGUUUAGCAUUUGUAAUUAAAUUAUUAUUGUCCUGUUCUUAAAUAAUUGUAAUUUGUCAUAUAUAAAAAUAUUUACCAUUUAAAGACAUAAUUCAAUCAAUUAAAAAAAAGCGACAGGUGUCUUUGGAUAAUGUUGAAAAAGAGAAAAUCCUGAUUAUGGGAAUGUAUUUGGGGCGCAGUUAUAGGCUUGUACGUACAUAUGUAUGUAUAUGUAUAUGUAAGUAUGUAUCCUUUGCAGGUUUCUUGCAAUGGAGCUUUUUUUGAUUGAGCUUAAUGGUAAAAAGCCCCACCCCUUUUAGCAAGGAUAUUUCAGGGUCUUGGAAAUGACUUGUUGCAAAUAAUCCACUUUUAUUUAGUCAAAUAAACGGGAUAUCUACGAAAUACUAUUUGCAUGAAACAUUAAGAGAUGUAUUGCUAAAACCAUUAUUCGGUCUGGGAAGGACCGUUUCUAAUAAGUAAAACACUUGCAAAAAACAUAAAAUAAAACAAAAAUCCUAACUUUGCAACAAUAAUUACCUAUUUACGCGUAUACCACUGCGUAACUGGACAAAUGCAAAUAAUUGUGUACUGAUAAUAAAUAUAUGUCCUUUUAAGAUAUGUAUGUGAGCCGUGUGAAUAAAAUUGUGCGUUAUACGCACAAAGAAGUAUUUAAUAUUUUUUAGUAUAUACACAGUAACAGACCAUAUACAGAUGAAAUAUAUGUAAAUUGGUGUAUAUUUUUGAAUCUGUGUUGACCCAGAAUUGUAUCAGGAGAAUAAUACAGUGAUAUAGAUAUGUAUACUUAUAUAAAUAUACAGAUAUUAUAUAUAUACUUAUAUAUAAGUGUCCACAUUUGUAUAUACACUUUUUUCUUUUUAUCAAUUUAGUACCUAUAAUUGAUGUGUACUUUUGAAAUGCGACAAAUAUCAAUAUUUUUUGUACGUCUCUGCAACCGAGAAGAUCUGAUAAAUUUUUGUUUAGAAAUUCUUAUAAAACUAUUUAAAUAGGUGUAUAUAUGUAUAUUUUUUUAGCGAGCUGGGAGAACACGAGAAACACAGCUAGAUACCGAAAUUUUUAGAACUUCUGUUUGCUUGAAAAUCGAAUUCAAUACUGACUAACAAGAUUUUGCGGCCGCGUUUGAUUCGAUGAAACUUCCAGAGAGAAAAGCUUUCCUUCGUAUUUUCUCAAAAUGUCGUUUCAGGAGCGCCUGCGCACUGAUGUAUGUACAUAGUGAACAUCCGUGUCUUAAGCUACCACCGCAUUUGACCAUUAUUAGACCGUUAUUCCCUAACCCUGCCCCGUACAAUGUUUCACAACAUUUUGGCAUACGCUAAAAUUUCUUCAAUUUAGAAAUUAAAUAGACUUCACAACUUCUGAUAUUAACGAAAUACGCAUGCGGUGGAGUUUGAUACAAAUCCAAACCAUUGCGAUGAUGAGCACCUCGAUCCGGAUUACUAUCCGAAUCUAUAUCGUCCGCGUGUGCGUCCAUAUAUCUGUAAGAACGCCUCGAUCUCAGAAACUAUGUAUAAAAGCUAGAAAGUUGAGAUUAAGCAUUCAUGUUCGAGAGGUUAGCCACGGUCUAGCUCCUAAAAAGCGGUCAAAACUGCCACGUACACACUUUUGAAAAGGGUUUGGAUAUUUUUCUGUUUUAUUAUUUAUCUUUCCCAUUUCUACCGGUAUACCGAAAACAUCUAUCUUGUUUUUUCUAACGUUCAGAUUAAUCUGAAUGACAGAUGCACAAUAAAGUGAUUUUUAUAGGACCUUUUUAAUACAGUCCUGUAUGAAACUGAGCAGAAUUGCCCAAAUAAUCUAAAUCACUAUAUUAAAUGUCGAUUAUGAGAUACCUGUUAACCGGCUAGUAGGAGUGCGGGGAAGGUAGAAGUAAGCAAAUUUCAUAUUUGCAUUGGAUGUAGUAUAAAAAGUUACAAAGGGUCGGAUUGGACCACUAUAUCAAAUAGUUGUCAUAGUUAACAUUAAUCGAAAAAAAGAUGUAUGUGCGCUUGGAUUUAAAUUAAAAAAAAGGACGAGUAAAUUAUAUAGGAAAAGUAAAAA